rnacentral:tRNA from 2 species
UGAAUUAUAGCUCAAUGGUAGAGCGCUCCACUCAUAAUGGAUUGAUCUCGGUUCAAUUCCGAGUAAUUCAA